rnacentral:lncRNA from 1 species
GAAAGAAGUGAGAGAAAGAUGGAUCUGAGCCUUUUAGGAAGACAUCUUCAUCUGAGAUGGUAUAUGGCAGUAGAUAGUGUCAGAGGUGAGCAUACAAAAGCAGAAGAAGGCAAUGUGGCUUUGGGGCUCUCCCAUCAAGAAGUGGGGUCCAUUUCCUGAUCCCUGGAGUCUGGACUCAGGAGCAGCCUGUGACUUGCACUGACAUCAAUGGAUAAUGAAAUGGAUGGAGACAGAGUUGUGCAAGUUCCAGAAGCUAAGCCUUGAGGGCUCUUGCAGAUUUUGCUUUUGACCUCUUGAAACUGCCCUGAUACCACUGGGAAGGAAUGCCUAUCUGAUUUUCUGGAGGAAGAGAGUCACAUGGAGAAGAACUGAGGCAGCCACCAACUGCCAGACAUGUGACCACCAGCUCUGCUGACCCCACAGCUCAAAGAAGCUGCACAGAUGAGCUGAGGCCACACUCUUCAGGGAACAAUCCGCACAGUCCUGAGAGACAGCAACUCCUUGCUCUUCUGAGCCACUAGGCUUUGGAACAGUUCAUUGCCUCUUUUACAUGACAUACUCUAAUUGCAUCAUCUUGUUCAAUGCUCACAACAACCCUGCAAGGUUCUUAUUAAUUUUCCAUUUUACAGAUAAGAAAACUGAGCCUCACAGAGUAGAUGCAAAACCGUUAAGUGGCAGGACUGGAAUUUGCACUCACAUCUAUGUGGCCCUAAAGGCCACCCUCUCCCCAUUUCACUGGCCCAUCAAAAACCACAGAGACCAGAUAACAAGAGCUUGUCAUAGUGCUGACAGCAGAGCUGAGGUCCCA